AGAUGGAGGUGGCCGAUGAUCGGAAGGGAAAGUGGACCAGGGGGCAGGUUUUUCAGGCAUAUCCUCGAUCGGUGAAGUCUAAAAGCAAAGAUGAGAAUGAUAGCAGAAAGAAACAAGUAAGUGACUGUGUCUUCCAUUUCCAUGCUUAAUUAUCCUUGCUUUCUUUGCUUUGUUUGAUCCUUUCUGGGUUGAAGCAUAUAUCAAGGAUGGUGAAAUUAUAAUUAAAUAGGGCGACGGAAAUUUCUAUCUACACCCUCGACAUUUUCAGUUUUCCAUGUGCAAAGAAUUGAUUAAAACUUUAACAAAAAUAAAAUAAAUAUAUAACCAUGCUAAACUAAAAACAAAAAUGAUUAAGCUCGUAAAAACUGCUUGUUAACAAUUCUAGACUCUGACUUGAAAAAAACUCCUCGUUGGGCAAUUUUAACGAGUUAAUUGAUUUUGAGUCUAAAAAGAGGUAAUUUUUCUUUACUUUGAAUUAGAGUUUUAUUUUCAAAUUUAGAAUCUAGCUCGAGCAUGAGUGUUUUUCUGUUGAGUCAAGCCCCAACUUGAUAGUACUUGACUUAAUUUAACUAAUUUACAAUUCUAAAAUAUUACAACUCUAAAAUAUGAAUAUAAGUUUAUAUUAAACUUUUGAUCUCAUAGUCACAAAGAUGGUCCUUUGAAUUCAAACUCUUUUUUUUUUUUUUUUUACAUAUUGGGUUUAGGAGUUUCAGGAAGGGAGAUUCAAAUUUGAAUCGAUUGUCAAAUUAUAUAUAAAGUUACCGCAUUAGAUUAUGCAACUCAAGCAUAUUUUACUAUUAAAAUUGCCUUAUAUGAAAUUCACUAUAAAAAGUAAAGUAGUUGAACAACUCAAACAUUGAAAGUAAAAAUUUAAAAACCAAAAUUUUCCACGGUUUAUUUUGUAUAUUUAAUUAGACUAUAACUAUAUUUUGAGCUUAUAAACUUAACAACAAUAUAGCAUUAUUCAACUAAAAUUUACUGAUUUUUCUUUGUUGCCUUACAUCAAACAGGCUGAGACAAUGUCUGUUUCAUAAUCGGGCGUGCCUUGCACAUGGCCUCGAGUGGUUCAGCUAUAGGCAUAGUAAGCCCUCUGCCUUCUACCAUGUCUACCUCUUCCUCAGUUACCCUUUUCC
rnacentral:lncRNA from 1 species